rnacentral:rRNA from 1 species
GCUCAGGAUGAACGCUGGCGGCAUGCCUAAUACAUGCAAGUCGAACGAGAGGAAGGAAAGCUUGCUUUUCUGAAUCUAGUGGCGAACGGGUGAGUAACACGUAGGUAACCUGCCCAUGUGCCCGGGAUAACUUCUGGAAACGGAUGCUAAAACCGGAUAGGUAGCAGACAAGCAUUUGACUGCUAUUAAAGUGGCCUUGGCCAUGAACAUGGAUGGACCUGCGGUGCAUUAGCUGGUUGGUGAGGUAACGGCCCACCAAGGCAACGAUGCAUAGCCGGCCUGAGAGGGCGGACGGCCACAUUGGGACUGAGACACGGCCCAAACUCCUACGGGAGGCAGCAGUA